rnacentral:tRNA from 1 species
UGGGGAAUUAGCUCAGCUGGGAGAGCGCCUGCUUUGCACGCAGGAGGUCAGCGGUUCGAUCCCGCUAUUCUCC